AGUGAACGCUGGCGGUAGGCCUAACACAUGCAAGUCGAACGGCAGCACAGUAAGAGCUUGCUCUUACGGGUGGCGAGUGGCGGACGGGUGAGGAAUACAUCGGAAUCUACUUUUUCGUGGGGGAUAACGUAGGGAGACUUACGCUAAUACCGCAUACGACCUACGGGUGAAAGCAGGGGAUCUUCGGACCUUGCGCGAUUGAAUGAGCCGAUGUCGGAUUAGCUAGUUGGCGGGGUAAAGGCCCACCAAGGCGACGAUCCGUAGCUGGUCUGAGAGGAUGAUCAGCCACACUGGAACUGAGACACGGUCCAGACUCCUACGGGAGGCAGCAGUGGGGAAUAUUGGACAAUGGGCGCAAGCCUGAUCCAGCCAUACCGCGUGGGUGAAGAAGGCCUUCGGGUUGUAAAGCCCUUUUGUUGGGAAAGAAAGGCAGCAGGUUAAUACCCCGCUGUUCUGACGGUACCCAAAGAAUAAGCACCGGCUAACUUCGUG
rnacentral:rRNA from 1 species